CGGUCACCACGCGUUGAAACACUAGUUCCGGUACGAUCACCAAUUUAAGCAAUGGUGAGCCUGGUCAGUACCUAGAUGGGUGACGACUUGGGAAUACCAGGUGCUGUA